UGGGGAAUUUUGGACAAUGGGCGAAAGCCUGAUCCAGCAAUGCCGCGUGUGUGAAGAAGGCCUUCGGGUUGUAAAGCACUUUUGUCCGGAAAGAAAUCCUUGGCUCUAAUACAGUCGGGGGAUGACGGUACCGGAAGAAUAAGCACCGGCUAACUACGUGCCAGCAGCCGCGGUAAUACGUAGGGUGCAAGCGUUAGUCGGAAUUACUGGGCGUAAAGCGUGCGCAGGCGGUUUGCUAAGACCGAUGUGAAAUCCCCGGGCUCAACCUGGGAACUGCAUUGGUGACUGGCAGGCUAGAGUAUGGCAGAGGGGGGUAGAAUUCCACGUGUAGCAGUGAAAUGCGUAGAGAUGUGGAGGAAUACCGAUGGCGAAGGCAGCCCCCUGGGCCAAUACUGACGCUCAUGCACGAAAGCGUGGGGAGCAAAACAGGAUUAGAUACCCUGGUAGUCCACGCCCUAAACGAUGUCAACUAGUUGUUGGGGAUUCAUUUCCUUAGUAACGUAGCUAACGCGUGAAGUUGACCGCCUGGGGAGUACGGUCGCAAGAUUAAAACUCAAAUGAAUUGACGGGGUCAUAGCUGUUUCCU
rnacentral:rRNA from 1 species